rnacentral:tRNA from 1 species
GCCCAUGUGGGGUAGCUUGGAUAUCCUCAAAGCCUGCGGAGCUUUGAACCCGGGUUCGAAUCCCGGCGUGGGC